GUAAGGCAACAGUAAGCAAAAUAAUUCCAUUAUAAAUGAGUAUAUAUGAUGCAGUUCCAUAACUCUUAUUGUACAGGAAUGAGCAACAUUAUUUCCCUAAUUUGUGUAGAAAAACUGGCUUGCCAGUUCUUGUCAAAAGGCCAUAUAUUGAAAAUGUGGAAUAUCGAUUGAUCCUUGGAAUUAUGCAAGCUAACAUGAUGGUAGAGUUGGCUUCAGUAUUCAGGUAGAGACAGAAUGGUUUUGAAGUUGACAGUGAUUCCCUUUUUCAAAGGGGUAAAAUAUAAUUACGCUGUGUCCUUCAUGUGUUCUGAUCUUCUUUUCUUGUGGCUGUAAACUGACACUUGUCAAAAGUGUAUCUGUGUAGUAGCAUUUCUGUAUUUUACAUGCAUACCAAUGAGUGUAUUGAACACAAAUGCUAGGGAUGUCAUAAGGUAAACAGCCUUUUUUCUUAACAGCUUUGACUUUUCAAGUACUUGCAGAAAGCUUUGAGAAAGCAUUCCUUGAUAUAUUGAUUGAUCUGUGGGGCAUACAGUGUUUCAUGCAAAUGAGGUGUAAAAUAACCUGCAGACGUCCAUAUUUUAAAAAGUGUAUGCAGAUAGUAAUUGCUAUGCCCUUUCCUAUGAACUGGGUUUCUAUUAAUGUGUGUUUUCUGUGGUUCCAUGGGAAGCUGCUGUUACUGCAGGGUUCUGUUUCAGAGUCUUGAACAGAUGUGUAUUCACACUCUUUUUCACUUUAACCUGUCCCUGAAUUAGGAGCGUGCAAAAUACAUGCACUGACUAGCUCUGAGCACUGGUGGUUUGAGCUUCAGCUUUUAAUGUCCUUGACUCUGACUAAUCAAUAGCAAGUGAAACAACUACAGCAUCAGCAGCAGUACUGUAAAAGGAAACGUCUGUUGGAUAUUGUGCUGGAAGACUUGAGGGCAAUGACUCUCCUUGAGAAAGCUGCAAUAUUUUCUUCUUAAGAGUGCUGAGCACAAAUGUUUCAUUUUCUGCUGCCUGCUUGGAAAAUGAGCGCAUCUUCCAAUGUAUCAUACCAGGAAAUAAAAUAAAAACUCCAAACUAAGGAAAAACAGAUUAAGAUAUGAAAUGAUCCUUUUUAGCAAUGUAGAGGACUGUUAGCCCAAAAUAUUUUUGGCCUCUAAAAUGCUGAGUAGACAAAGUUUUACUAUGUCUUGGUUCUAACUCAUUUCACACUGAGAACAGCUUUAUAGGGUUCUAUACUGAAGUACAUAUAAUUCUGUUUGACCCCCUUUCUCAUUUUAUGAACUUGUAGAUCAAUGAAACAAACCAUUAAGUAGAUUGAAUGCUGCCUGCAACACUAAUGUUAAUGGUUCCGAUUUUAUUAAGCCCGUUUGGAAAUCUCAUACAGGUGGCAGCAUCCAUAAAAUGACAAACUAUGUAUCCUUAUCUGUGGAGCAUAAAUUCAAACAUUAGAGGAAAAGCUAGUGAUAGUGGAAAAGAAGUCUUUCUAAGGUAUUGCGGUAUUUUGGAGAAGUGCAAAGGAGAGCAAAACCUCUAUGUUUUGGGUUACUAUAAAUAGUCCUGAGGUUAAUAUGAUAUUGUAUUAUGUACUGCCUUCCUGUUGUUGUAAGCAACUCAAGUGCCUAAGAGGGUGAAGACUCUUUAUCUUGAUGUAUAACUUCAUGGGAUAGACUGUUUAAUCUCUUCUGGUUCUAGUUUUUCCAAUUACUAAGUAAAUUCAGUUAUUGGAAAAUCUAAUCUGGAAAGAGAGACUAAUGUGGAACUGAGAUCCAGAAUUUUCUGGGAAUCCCUGGCCUCUAAUAAGUUGAUAGUGUCCAAGUCUGUGUGUUUUCAGGUCUUUGGUUUUCAUUUGUUUGUCUUCUAUCCAUGCUUUUAUCUUUAGGUAAGAAAAGUAAUAUUUACAUAUGUCAUUAGGGCUCUUAAUGACAUGAAUGAAAAAUACUGUUUUAGUGCCUCAUGGGGUAAAAGUGAUGUUUAGAAAUAAAGAAAAAGUUGUAUUAAAUAUUUAUGUUACUGUGCUCUGAAACACAAGGCAGUAUUAAGCCUGGUGCAUACAAAAUCUGCAAAAUCCUAAGAAAAAAUAUGGAUUGCUUCAGACAACUUUAUCUUCUGCUGCUGUGUAGGCAUUGCUUUAGGGAGGCAAGACAUUAUUUUUCUUUGUGCAAUAAGUCUUCUCCAGAAACCUAUCCAGAAGCCUCUCCUUGCUUUCCAAUAAAAAUGAGGUGACAUUUUGUCCUCAUUUUGCUACAGCAUUAACCAACACUGCUCUUUGAAGUAGUGGCUUGGAUCCAAGAAGCAAAUAAAACUAGGAAUGAAAUGUUUCAUUUAAUUUUCUACUUGAAAUCAGAAACUGAAAAAUUGGAUAAGAAUACCUUCUUAGGUAAUGCAGCUACAUCUUCUCUUUGCUUUCCUCCCUUCCACUCAGCAGUUUGAACUUUCUCCAUAUAAAUCACUGUUCAUUUAAAAAGAUCAGAGAUACAUGUUGUGUUGUGCUUGAUUUCCUCCAAGCUGGAAAAAGUAAAAAUGUAAAUUGAUUUUUGUUUCAAAAUACUCUGUUUGGAUCAAGGCCCCAGGUAACAGUCUGCUUAGGAUAAAUGAUAUGUACUUGGUGAAGAGAGAAAGUGUAAUGAGACUUAUCAUAGAAACUUUCAAUUGCUCAACACUUCUUUUGCUUGUGCUUUCCCUUGAGUGCUUGGGUUUACAUACAUGAUCCCCAAAUUUAUGCAACUCAUAUGUAGAGACAUAUUUGGAGGGUGGGAUGUGAGUAUAUGAAACUUAGUUUUGAAUUCAGUUAAGUCAUCAUUACAGGAAACUUUUAUUUACUCUGGAAGAAUUUAGGUCAGGUUUGUAAUGACCAAGAAAGUUUGACUGCAGACCUCCAAUUUAUGUACAACUCAUUGGAAUAUAUUAUUUCAAAUCCUGUUGGAAUAAAAAGGAUUUCAGACAACUAGAAUUUAUCAUCUCGCUUUGUGAAAAAAAGUUCAGAAUAUGACCAUGUCAUAACAUUUUCCUCCCUGAAUGGCUUAGGUGAAAGCUUGUAGGGAACAUAGCCAGUGAGAAGGGGUGUGAUUGAGAUUGUUUGGGACAGGUAGAAAUCGAGCCCAUGGAUAUGUGACUAUCACCGUAACAGUAAUGUUCCAAAUAUGGCAAUGAAUGAGAUGUUAUGAUGCCAUUAACUGCUCAGUUCUGUGUUGUGUGCUGGUUAAAGGAGGAAAAAACCUGCCUUCUUUACAUAUUAAAAGGAUUGUGUUUAUGAAAGCCUCUUCUUUCAGAAUGAUUUCAGUAUAUAUAAACAUAUGGGGGUUUGCUAUUAUACUUUUAUUUUUAUGCUUUUUUCUCUAAUGAAUAGAAAAGCUAAAAACAGUUGGUCUUAAAGGCAUUUUAUCCAGCUCCCAAUGACAGUAAACUCUUAGGAAGUUCCGGAUCAUCCGGUAUCUGAGAUACAGAUCUGCAAGGCUCAUGAGAUAAUCAGCUGUGGUACUUCCAGAAAGCCAAUUGUAGGAUUAAAAAAAAUCCUCACUGUUGGCUCAACUGGAUCCAUAUUAAUAACAUAAUUCAAACUACACUUUCUGUAGCACAUUCUCUUUGGGGGAGAGCAGUUAGACUUAAAUUUGAUGUUCCCAAAAUAGUGUAUUGCAAAAUCAUUAAAAUGUUUGUUUUAAGACUAAUAAUGAACACAGUGCUCACUUCAAAACUCUCUGAAUGAAGAACUGAUAUUGGAAAUAAAGUAUCAGCAGGUUACAUUUUAAACUACUCAUUAUUUUCUUUAUUGUCUUGGACACAUUUGCAUCUAGGAGAGACAGAUACAUAAUGUUCCCUUAAAGGAUGAAUGAAGUUCUGUCAUUCCUUGUACAGGCAAGAUGGAUAGCUUUUUUUCUCUCUUCCACUUUUAUUUUGAGUUUUUUAUUUUUAUUCUUUAAUGUACUUUCCUCCGCAAGUCUGAGUGGCAGCUUACAUAACAGCAGUGGUUUUUUAAAACUAAUCUUAAACUCAGAAUCCAGUGCCCCAGCAGCAACUCAAGCCAAAAUCAGGCUUUUCCUCAACCUGCCUAACUGACUACUUUUGAACUCCGAGAAGCCAGAUGAGAGGUUGGCAGCUAGGACAUGAGAAAUCAUCUUCUGAAUACCCACUGCCCAUAAUAUUUUGCCUCUGUUAGCUCAAUAACUCCAAAUAGUGAGAGAUCUAGUGUACAAAUUGAGUCCACAUUGCCUGCUGCUUAAUGAAUUUGCAGCUUUUUCUACCUUCCCCAGAACCAUUUUUUUAAAGCACUUCUGUUCAGUUUCUGUGUCCUUAUAUUUCAGUCCUUUUUCCUUGCUCCAUUUCACCUGUGUCCUGUCAGAGCCUUCCUUUUCCCCCCACCCUCCACCACCCCACAAUUAUUCUGUAUUUCUGUGUCCUUUUCUUUUCUACGUACUUUACCUGGUUGCUUUUCAUGUUUCAGUGAAUAAAGUCACUAGAGUCUUUCUUUCUACCUUUUUGUUUUCUUUCUUUUUUUUUUUUUUUACUCCCUUUUAUUAACCAUUUCUUUCUUUGAAAGAUGUAUUUAUUGUGAUUAAUUCUUGUGCCUUCAAUAGGACUUGCAGACUCCCUUGUGGACUUGUUACUUCUGUAGACUGCUCAGGUCCUAUGUCUCAGGCUUAUUCCAUGCUAGUUGUUUUAGACAUGCCUGUUGACUACUAGAGUUACUAAUAUACAUGCAGAUGCAACUAAAAAUAUAAGCAGAUCUAUUGUCCACCUGUGUUUUGCAUAUUACUGUACACUAAAUAGUAGUUCAUCAGUUAAGAACUUCUCAAAUGAAAAUUCAGAGGUGACUUUAAACACAGCAAUGUGAUUUCACUGUGAUUGCAGCAGACCAGGUAAGGAACAAACUAAAAGGCCAGAAAGCUUUCACUUACAAUGAUGUGCUUUAGUGUUAAAAGUGUGGUAUAGUUGUGUGUUUUUAUGUAAAUACUUGUAUCUGUCCUUUGACUUAGUGUCUAAGAAUGUAUGCAAUCUCACAGAUUUAAGAAAACAAAAUUCCACAGCGGAGGUCUGAAUGGCCUAGGAAAUGUGAAGGGAAGGUAGCAACCAUGCAGUAGCUUUCAAUUCUAGACUACCAAAACCCUGAUGAUACUUCUCUUUUUCUGUCUAACCUGUAGCUUCCUAACAUCCUUCAGAAAAUUACUUAGGAGAUAAUGAUUAACUACAGUGACUCAGUAAAAAUACUGCAGAAAGGCCUGGAAAAGCCUGCCACCUUUGUACCAUGUGCAGAAAUGGAUCUUCAGUCUUCCUCAAACUCUGUUAGACAGAGUCUGUAACAUACAUAUACAGUCAUGAAGGUCAAUGUAUUUUACAGCUGUGCAUUUUUCUUGACAUUAGAGUAGGCUUUUAGGUCUGUGAUGUUAAUACACUGUGUGAUGAACUGAAUUUUCAAUUAUAUGGUUUUGGUUUUGAAUUCUCCCAUUGAGAAUUUCAUGGUAUGGCAAAACUAUAUUAAUUCACUUUAAGAUAUUUUAUGUGUGGGAGAGGAGGCAGUAGAAGUAGCAAGGACCUGAAUGAUGUAAGCUUCAGUAAGAGAGCAGAUUCAAACAAUAAUGUAGUGUUCCUUAAAGGUUCUUAAGAUACUCAUCACUACAUGUGAAUAUGACCAUAAGAAACUCAUCUACUCAAUGUCAGUCUAGCCUAGAGCCUUCCUCUCCAGAACAAGUAAUGGUGACUGUCAACAGUGAUGUACAUAAUAACUCAACUGCAUCAGAUAACAACAGACUGGGUUUUGUUUUAUUUCAUAAGAUCCCACUGGAUG